GUUAUACCACUCUCGAAAUUGUUACUCUCAGAGUUUGCUCUAAAAAACAGUUAUCCUAAUUUAGAUCGAACGAUUAGAUUUUUUUCCGUUUAUCAGUUCCCAGGAUUUGAGUUCGAAAAGCCGGAAGUUUCCUAAAAACUGGAAAAGUAGCAAGUUGGCAAGUUGGCAAUCGUGAUCUGCAUAUAUUAAGAAAGGCGUCGAAAACGAGCAAGAAAGCAUUGAAUUCAUGCAAUGAUGAACUUGUUGCUUUAAACGCUGUCUUCUUGUCUUGAAUAAUCUUAUUGUGAGUGUCAUUGCAAGAGGAAAAGUAACGAAAAUUAUAAGCUGAUGUGAUUUAUAUUAAAGACUCUUGCAGACAUCGAAAUUACAAGUAUAAACUGUAAAAUAAGAGCGGACGACUAAGUAGUUACAAAGAAAAGGAUUGGAAUAAUAAACAUUUUACUACAAAAUCAUCGAUCAACUUUUUGAAGGCUGUUAUUAUUUCAGUUAUUAUACUAUCUGUUAUUACUCGCUGCAGCAGUCCAAGGAAAAAAUUAGUAGAACAAAAUCAUUGAUUUCAACGAUAGGACCACAGUGCGAAAUACUGGAUAUCAAAGGAUUUAUAUAUAACCACUAACAGGUACA